ACACAACCCCUACGCCUACUCCGCCCCUACCCCAGCGCACACUCUACCAAUGAGAGCGCCACUGCCCCCUAAUCUAGUGGAGGUGCAAUUGCACCUUUUCUAGGACAAUAAAAAAAUCUAAAUAAAAAAGCAUGUUCCCUGAGGUCAAACGCGCCCCCCUUGAAGGAGUGGGGGCGCGCCCCACUAUUUGAGAAGCAUUGGGUUAAGUUCAUGUCAGCUUUCCCACCGCUUACGGACAGAUAACAGAAAUCAUCAAACCGUAAGACAUUUCAUUUAAGGAAGCUCUUGUUAAAGAAGUAGUGUGACUCAUUAUGUAAAUGUAAUUGUAAACUCAUGUCGUGUGAUAAAGAUUUGGUUUGUAGAGACAUAUGGAGAUGUGGUUUUAUAUUGCAACGUGACAUUAUUGUAAUUCAUGUCUCCGUAUCUUAACCAGGACCUUCAAGAAGUUUGCAGCCUGAAAGUGUUAAGGAGUCCAUUCGGUGGACUGAAUGUAAACCAGAAGUGAGCAGCAACGACGGAGGCCAGGCUACAGCCUACAGACUGCAGUCUGGACCGGGACACUUUGAGUGCAGUGUUUCAGGUUUACGAUGGGUCUGUCAGCAGAAGUCCAUCUUGAAGUACCAGUUUGGCUCCUGGCAGGGACACGUGGACAGGAUGGAGAGCAGACAGUUCAUGCCUGCAGGUCCGCUGAUGGACGUCACCGUCAUUGAAGGGAAGCUGAAGGAAGUCUACCUGCCACACUGGAUCUGCAUAGGUGAGGGGAGCUGAAAAAACCUUUUACUGAAUAUUUAUUGAUGUGUUUUUCUUCUUCUUCUUUCUUUUUUCUGUUCAUGCAGAAGACAACCCUAAAAUCUUGGACGAGUUUGCGGUUCUGCACAUAGACGACUGUGGAGAUGUUGUGGAGAACGUGUCAGAGGUCACAGCGACGCACGUCAAGUUGACCGAACCCACUUUCUCUGUGAAAGCCGUCUUGAUGAAAGUUGGCCUUCCUGUGAAAUACAGAUGUAACGUGUUGAUCUACAAGACCAACACAGCUUUCCUCACGCUGCAUGUUUACCUGAUCCCAGAUGAUCCUGGUUUACAGAAGACAAUGGACCAGAAACAAGAAUCCUACGGAUACGAAGUGAUCCGAAAGCCAGACCCAGAGUCCUUGAAAAUAUGUGACCGCUUCAUCCUCAUCACAGAUUUGAAAGAUGCAGAAAUCACUCCUAAA